rnacentral:tRNA from 1 species
AAUUAUUUAGUUUAGUACAAAACACUAUAUUUUCAAUAUAGAAAAAAUUAAAAUUUAAUAAUUU